GGCAAGGUGGCCGAGCGGUCUAAGGCGCACGGUUCAGGUAUACCUGACCAUACAAACUUUCUGUAAAGUUUCCGUGUCAUGAAAAUGGCGUGGGUUCGAAUCCCACCCUUGUCA